GUGCGGACGGGGGUGAUGAUGCGGUAGACGGAGACGAAUCCGUUGGGACGGUUGUUACCGGGGAUGGCAGCGUCGGUAGUGGUGGAGAUGGUGUAGGAGAUGAAGACAGUGUUGCAAGGGUGGAAGGGGACCCCGGGGCGAGCAGCGGCGGAGGCAGCGAGGAGGGAGAGGACGACGACGAGGAGGGGGAAGGCGGAGCCAGAGGAAGCCAUAGCGGGAUCAGCGGAGCGAAGGAAGAUGGGAAGAAUUGGAGU
rnacentral:lncRNA from 1 species